rnacentral:lncRNA from 1 species
GACUUCAUAAUAAUCAUAAUAUAAUUAUUUCUAUCUUAGAUUUGUGAUCUCGAAACCACAGUUCCGACUAGGCCCUAAUUCGGGAUGUUAUAGGUAAAAUCUUAUAAAAUCUUAAGUAAAAAAAAAUUAAAUAGAAAUUCACAAGCCCCAAAAAAAAAUCUUAUAAUAUAUAAAAAAACAAAUGGAUGGUCAUGGUAGAAAAAAAAUCAGCCAUCAGUUGAUCAGCUCUCAAGAGUCAAGUCUCAACCGUUAAUAUUCAAUAAUAAAUUCAAAAACAAUAAAAACAUUGGAACCCCCAAAAUUUUC